rnacentral:lncRNA from 1 species
UUUGAUAUUUCCAAAUCUGGCCUGAAGCAGAUGAUGGGGCCGCAGGAGGAGCGUCCUUCAGGGUGUCUUGUUUGGUUUGGAAAUAUUUAAAUGUCUGCUGCAUUUCCUCCAAGAGAGGAGAAGCCAGGGCCUGUGGGAGAGCCCAGGACCGUGGCCACAGCCCUGCAGGGUCCCCAGCUCCUCUGCGGCUGCCUCCCUGGGACCGGAUCCCCAGUGCCCCCCACCCACACUCCCACCGUCAGCACCAUGAGAAAGUCAAGAUGAGCCCAGACAUUCUCCACCACGUGUUUACAGUCAAGUGACUCAGCUCUGCCCUCGAUUUAAGCCCAUGCAGCAAUUGUCCAUGAUUACAGAAAACUUCUUGGCUCCUGGAAAGAUCGCCAGCACGUUAUUAACCUCAGAGGCCAGACACAUGUUUUCCAUGAUUUAUUUAAAUGCUAGUGGCCACCACAGAUGAUCACGGCCUUUUGGAAUAAAGGGCGUGUAAUUAAGACAUAAUCUCUUCUGUUUUGUAAUAUAUGGAGCAGUAAAUGGCUACUGAGGUUGAUUAAAUUCUCCAUCUUCCCUUUGGCGCUUGGGAACUGCCAGAGCUGUUGGAAUCCCAAUCGUGGCUGUGACCACUUCAUAGCACAUGGCAGUGUGGUCGAACAGCCAAAGGCUGUCCUUCGGGGACCUGGGCGCCUGAUGUGGGUGGAUCUGAGAUUUACAAUAGCACUCACCUGGGAGUGCAGCUGCCUUGACGGGGCAAGGGAAAGCAGGGAGGGACAGUGAUUCACUGGUAGGGGGUGGGCUUUGUACAGGCAAAAGACUGAGCAGGGCAAGGGCGUGCCGUCAAAGGAGAUUGAACCGUGUAAACGCACAGCUCCCCAUCAACGCUUCCUGCGUCGGGCUCAAGCCAGCGUUGUGGAAAAAAAGCAUAGCAUGGUUUUUUCACGUUGUCAAGAGCGUUCUGAGGCCUGCCCUUGACACUUGGCCGGGCGCAGUGGCUCACGCCUGUAAUCCCAGCACUUUGGGAGGCCGAGGCAGGUGGAUCACGAGUUCAGCAGAUCAAGACGAUCUUGGCUAACACGGUGAAAUCCCGUCUCUACUAAAAAUACAAAAAAAUUAGCCGGGCGUGGUGGCGGGCGCCUGUAGUCCCAGCUACUCAGGAGGCUGAGGCAGGAGAAUGGCAUGAACACCCGGGAGACAGAGGUUGCAGUGAGCGGAGAUCAUGCCCCACUGCACCCCAGCUUGGGUGACAGAGCAAGACUCCAUCAAAAAAAAAACAAAACUGAACACUUUUCACUUUGGACCUCUCCAUUGUGAGGGAAGAUCCAACAGCUGCACAUUUAUCUGUGCAGAGUCGAGAGGUGGGCUGUGGCCGAUCAUCUGAGGGUGUGGAUUUGCUAUUUUUUGGCAAAUUUGAGUCUACGUACUGAGGUUCCUGCCAGAGAAUAGAAUCUUAAGCUCUGCUGCCUGGGUCUUAUCACAAAGCUGAUUUUUAAGAAAUAUUGUAACAUCCAUGAAAGAGUAUCCAAAGACAUGUACCAUCUAUUCAAAAUCCUGUCUGUAGCUCCCAAGCCCACAAAAGGGCCAAGUACUCAGGGAAGAAUUUUUGGUGGACACAGUUACCCCCUCUGAGUCCAACCUGGGCCUGAGCCUGAGCCCACGUUGAGAGACAUUACAGAGAUGGCUAUCUGAUGCUCACUGGCAUAUUGGAGGAGGCCUAGUCAUCUCUACAAUGUCCCCGUGUGCGCCCUUAGGCACCAGGUCCUGUGCGUCUCCCUCGCCCCCGACUUCCUCUCUGCUGUUAAAUGUAUCUCCGCAAGCUGCCUCAACCUUCUUUCUUUUUUUUCCCUCCUUAUCUUAGAAAGCUUGUGUGUCAGUCUUUAAUUUUUUCAAUUUGUUAUUUUAUGUUUGAAAUUGUAUCCUAUUUUUAAUAAAUACAUGCAUAUUGUAGAUAUGCAAUGGUUUAUAUGCACGAACACGGAGAGUGAAAUCAAAUCUCCCUUCCUCCAUCUUAGAUGCCUUAUUGAAAAGAGCCGUGAAUUUUCUUGAAUACACACAGCAUACACAGAUCGCUUCUGCCUGUCUAGAAAUGGUUAACACUCUUUCUGCUGAACUGUUACCCAAACAACAGGGUGCCAGCGGAGCCCCGAGUCAUCGACUGCCUGGAAGUGGAGAUAGGACCCUGUUGUCUAACCUGGGGGGCAAAAAAAGGAAAUGAGGUGGCCGGGCGCGGUGGCUCACGCCUGUAAUCCCAGCAUUUUGGGAGGCCGAGGCGGGCGGAUCACAAGGUCAGGAGAUCGAGACCAUCCUGGCUAACACGGUGAAACCCUGUCUCUACUAAAAAUACAAAAAAUUAGUCGGGUGUGGUGGUGGGCGCCUGUAGUCCCAGCUACUCAGGAGGCUGAGGCAGGAGAAUCACUUGAACCCAGGAGGCAGAGGUCACAGUGAGCUGAGAUCGCGCCAUUGCACUCCAGCCUGGCGACAGAGCGAGACUCCGCCUCUAAAUAAAUAAAUAAAUAAAUAAAUA